rnacentral:rRNA from 1 species
CCGUGGGUGAUCUGCCCUGCACUCUGGGAUAAGCCUGGGAAACUGGGUCUAAUACCGGAUAGGACCGCACUUUAGUGUGUGUGGUGGAAAGUUUUUUCGGUGUAGGAUGAGCCCGCGGCCUAUCAGCUUGUUGGUGGGGUAAUGGCCUACCAAGGCGGCGACGGGUAGCCGGACUGAGAGGUUGGUCGGCCACAUUGGGACUGAGAUACGGCCCAGACUCCUACGGGAGGCAGCAGUGGGGAAUAUUGCACAAUGGGCGCAAGCCUGAUGCAGCGGCGCCGCGUGGGGGAUGACGGCCUUCGGGUUGUAAACUCCUUUCGCCAGGGACGAAGCGUUUUGUGACGGUACCUGGAGAAGAAGCACCGGCUAACUACGUGCCAGCAGCCGCGGUAAUACGUAGGGUGCAAGCGUUGUCCGGAAUUACUGGGCGUAAAGAGCUCGUAGGUGGUUUGUCACGUCGUCUGUGAAAUUCCACAGCUUAACUGUGGGCGUGCAGGCGAUACGGGCUGACUUGAGUACUGUAGGGGUAACUGGAAUUCCUGGUGUAGCGGUGAAAUGCGCAGAUAUCAGGAGGAACACCGAUGGCGAAGGCAGGUUACUGGGCAGUUACUGACGCUGAGGAGCGAAAGCAUGGGUAGCAAACAGGAUUAGAUACCCUGGUAGUCCAUGCCGUAAACGGUGGGCGCUAGGUGUAGGGGCCUUUUGGGGUUUCUGUGCCGUAGCUAACGCAUUAAGGCGCCCCGCCUGGGGAGUACGGCCGCAAGGCUA